AUUCGUAAUUAAAUUUUUUUUUUUUUUUUUUCACCAUAUUUAAUAAUCUUAUUGUUCUCCAAUGUAAAUUUUCAAAUUGAAUUUAAUGUCAUGUUUUUCAUUAUUUAAUCCUAUUAUUUUGACAUAAUCUGUUUUACUUCGAAAAACCAAGUAUAUUCCGAGAUGCUAAUUGCACUCACUUUACAGGGAAAAUCUGUUUUCAAUUUUUUAUUUUUUUAUUUUUAUUUAUUUUUUUGACAUCUCUGCGAGUCUGUUUCCUAUGCAAAAUUAUCACUGUAAUUAUAUGCAAAAAUUGUCUUUUACUGCUAUGCUAAAUAACUCUGUUUUCUAUGCAAAAUUAUCACUGUAGGUAUAUGCAAAAAUUGUCUUGUACUGCUAUAUAAGUAUAUGCAAAAUUAGUCUUCUUUUUAUGGAACAUACACAGUCUUGUAAAUUUUAAAGUUGGAACUUAAUGUCGUGUUUUUCAUUAUUUAGUCCUAUUAUUUUCACAUAAAGAUCUGUUAGAAAUACUAUAAGUAUAUGCAGAAAUGUGAAUUGUCCUCGAUGUAUAGGAAAAACUUUUCUUGAUGCUAAAACAUAUAUGUAAGUAAUAAGUAUGUCCAGGUUUUUUUCGUAUAUGCAAAUAAUAAGAAAUAGAGCAUCUAUAUUUUUUUCCUAUUGGGAGUUAGAAUACUUUGUGAUCGAGUGACCAUUUGUUUUAUUAGUAGCCUACUAAACAUUUUGGUUUAGCUAGUAUGUCAAAAUCGUGACAUAAGAAGUAUAUGGUUUCUUAGUUGGCAAAGCUAAAUAGCAAAAAUUUUUCUUUCACCUUUUGAGGAUCAUCUGGUCAGCACAAUACCUAAGAAGAUUCUUUCAACAGGUUCACCAAAUUCAAAAUAUCUUGUAACCUAUUUUUUAUGGUUUUCAAUGAUUAACCUAGGGUUAAAGUUUCUUGAUACAUCAUGUGAAGUCUUAGCAUAUAUAUAUAUAUAUAGUUUUUUUUUUUUUUUCCUUUUCUUUCAAUUGUUCAUAAAUGGAAAGUGGCCUAUUUAUAUUUGGAUGAGCUACAUUUUCUUGGAUGAUAUUCAGUUUGAGGACUUCUGAUGCUUUUUGUGCUUGCAAUGAUUCUUCUUUCUUUCUUUGAUCUUUUGCCUUGUCUGGAUGGUUGUGGUGCUUUUCUAUUUGCUUUGGAAGGAUUUCUCAUUCUUAUUCUCUUGGUGUCGUCCAUAUAUAUAUAUAUAUAUUUUGUUUGAAUAAUGAUAUACCGUCUGACUAGUUUGGCCGAAUUUCCGUUCGAUCGGAAUCCUAUGUAACAUAGCCAUGUCAUUUUGCAACUAAAAAAAUUGUUUCUGCGCAAGGUGCAAGCCUGGGAAACUGAAAAGUUCUACAAUCUGUUAGGACCCCUCUCUCUCCUCUCUUCUUUUUUGCCUCUCUCACUCUGUCAUCGAUAUCUUCUCUCUUGGUCUUUGAUUCUUCAUUUCUCCUCUGCCUACGAUCUGGAUCUCUUUGUCUUUUUGAUUCUGCCAAAUCAAAGGCGGAAACAAAGCAUUUGUUUCGUAAAAUCUAAGAGGAAAUAAAGCAUGAAAUGUUUAUGUUUCUCCAAUGAGAAACGUAUUGAAAUUUUUUGAAUGAGAAUUGCUAUGUUUCUACUGAAGAUGAAGAUUUUUUCUCAUAUGUUGUUAAGAAUUUUGAAUGAGUUUCUACUGCAUCAGGUUCAAUUAUCAUUUUGUCUCCAUCUUUUCAUUGGUUUAGGGCAUUCAAAGUUUAGUUAAUGCCCCCCCUUUUUAUUAUUAUUAUUUUUUGACAUGUUUCUUUGUACCAUAUGCUUAAUUGUUGUUUCUUUGUACCAUAUGCUUAAUUGUUGUUUCUUUGUACCAUAUGCUUAAUUGUUGUUUAUACUCCAAAUCACACCUUUAUUUAAAUUCUAGUAGUUCAUAUGUGAAAUUUUUAAUUUUUAGUUUAUUUUGUUCACUCAUUGGAAAGAUAAAAAGAUGCGUUGCAAUGAGGGAUAAAAAUUGUCUCCAUUGCGCCUCUCACUGGAUUGGACCAAUUAGGGGGUAAUUGGGUAAAUAUGCCUAAGGUCUUUGGAAGAUUGACAAAAAAUUUGAAAUUUGAAAUCCCCCAACCAAAACGAGAGGCCCAGGUUUUUGUUUCAUCUUCUCCCCCGACCAAAACUAGAGGUCUCCAUUUUUUUCCCUUCAAAAACACACAGCUCUCCCAACCAAAACCACAGCUGCUCCAACCAAAAACUGAGGAAUUUGUUUCUCUCUGCAAGAAUUUUCAAGCAGAGUCAGUUACUAUUCAGUCGCCAAAUCUGAGCGGUUGAAUCUCUCGUCAAUUCUUUCAUUUCUUCCGAUUUCAAUUUAUUGAUUCAGACGCGGUUAGCUACUCUAUACUCUGUAUUUCUCAUUUCAAAGUAUUGAUUCGGACGCAGUUAGCUAUUCGGACGCGUUUGUUCCUGAUUCCUUUUCCUCCCUGUGGAAUGUGAUUUAUCCAACGGAUUUAAAUGAUUAGACUUUGCAGCAUUUUACUCUACUUACCAAUUGAUUUUUGCAUUACUUGAUUUCAUCAUUCACAACUUUUGACAGGAAGCUCUAAUAGUAUUGUGGCAUGCAGCCUUUCCAUCGACUGGCUUUAGGUAACAUCUGUAACUUAAAAUGCUAACUUGAGUUUAAGGUGUCUAUUUGGUGAUAAUCAUAUUAUAAUUGAGAUUUUUGUCUUAUUUUCUACUUAUAAACAGUAUAUUGAGGAGUGUUGGAUGUGACAUGGAAAAGAUACAAUCAGUUGUUUUUACAUGAUUUUAUUGACAGUAAAUUUGGUUUUCCCGUAGCUGAAAUGAGUUUGAUAUGGUGAUUUCAUCAAAUGCUGUGCCUUGAUUUUUCAAAAGCCUUGUGGUCUAUUUCAUCAGGACCUCCUUUCUAAGAACUGGUUUGUGCUUCAAAUGCUAGGGGCUGUUUGGUUAUGAAGGUUCAGAGUCAUUUUAUAGGAACCUUAUUAUGUGAUAAAAAUCGAAGCAACGGAAAGCUGGUCUUUAAAUAACAUUAAUAGUUGGAGUGUAUAGGUAUUCUCUGAUUCAUUUUACAUCACAUUUCCUAACAGAAACAAAUGGAAAAAUGCCAUCUUCACAGACAUCCAAAUUAAAUCUUAAUGUCAAAGAAAUUGGUGAAUCUGAUGCAACUCAGAUGAUCUUUUUGUUGUGAAAAAAGGGAGGGUAUCACUGUCCAUAAAAAAAAUUCAUCUUAGCAUGGUUGUGGCUUUUGCUCCUUUUAUUUGUAGGGAUGAGGAAGGGUUGUUUUAUGCAUUAGACCUUGGUGGCACAAAUUUUGUUCUUCUGGUACAGUUGGGUGGAAAGACAAACAUGUUGUUAAAUAAGAAUUUUAGGAAGUUUCUAUUCCUCCACAUUUGAUGGUUGGCAGUUCAGAUGGGAGUAUCUAUUCAAGCAUCCACACAAUAUCCGACUCUCAUUUGAUUGCCUUAAAGUCUGAAGCUUCAAACUAUGGUGAUUUCAGGCUUAUUUAAUUUUAUUGCUGAGGCACUCACUAAAUUUGUUGCUACAGUAGGUGAAUCUUUCCAUCUUUCACCUGGUAGACAAAGGGAGCUGGGUUUCACCUUUUCAUUCCCAGUUAGGCAAUCAUCCAUUGCAGGAGGAAGUCUUACUAAAUGGACAAAAGGCUUCUCUAUCGAAUCAAUGCGGUGAAUGAUACAAUUGGAACAUUAGCAGGAGGCAUAUACUACAACCAGGCUGUCAUUGCUGUUUUGAUUUCGGGUACAGGAACUAAUGCAGCAUAUGUGGAGCAGGCACAUGCAAUUCCCAAAUGGCACGGUCUACUGCCUAAAUCAGGUGAGAUGGUUAGCAGCUUUCAAAUGUUUGAACCGAUUGUUUUCAAAUCAAGAUUUAAACUUUCUUCUAAUUCAUUUUUUUAUACUUUUAAUUUGUCCCUUCCAUUGGGUAGAAGUGUUUGUGUUUCCAAACCAGGUUUCAAUCUGUAACUUGAUAUGCGAUUGUUUCUUAAUAGAAGAUAUUUGGGAUGGUAUUUUAAUUUUUAUAUUCUUGGAAAGAACUAGUAAAACUAAUAUUUGAUUUUUUGCUUCUGCAUACAGGGGUCUAUCAUAUAAUAAGGGCUUAAUAGGUUCUCUUCCCUCAUAAAUUGAAAAUUUUAAGAAGUUAUUGGACUUGUAAGGACAAUCUUAUUUUUUUUAUUAAAAUAUUAACUGAUAACUAAAAUGGUAAUUACAAUGCUCUGAUAAACCAAUUUGAUUCUACACACCAUCAGAAUUCUAGUUGGUUGCAGGUUUAUUGGUCUGAUUCCAGAGAUGAUAUCAUCUCUCCAGCAGCUUGUUUUCUUGUAAUGAUUUCAAUCUGGUAUUCUUGUUCUAUUUUAAUGUGAGAGCUAAUGAACAUGCGAGUCCUUUGCUGAAAUUUGGCCUUUAAACUUCUUUAAUAAGUGAAGCAUCUAGCUCCAGUAUGUUUGGAAGGAAAAAAUUAAGACCGACUUUUUCAUACUAGUUGCACCUCUAUUUUUCCUUGUAUAUGUGUUAUUUAAUUAUGUAUUUGUCAAUGUCAUGUUGUGGCCCGAAUUUGGUGCAGGGUUGUGUUGCAACCCGUUGAUUGUGCUUAAAGUAGGGCCUUAGUCCACCAAAGGUAUGGGGUUUGUGGGCAGUGGCCCCAAGGAAAAAUUUUGACCCGGUUUUUGCUUGCGGGUCGUGGAUCCUAUUUAGUACCCCUCUCUUGUAGCCCGAUAUAUUAGGGCAUUCAGGAUUUGGAGUGGAUUAUAGAGAGACAUUGAAAAUCACGUAAAAGAGAGUGAGAGCGAGAGCGAGAGCUAGGUUUUGGGGCUGAAACUUGUAAUCCCCUGAAUUCCACGUAGUGAAAACUUUCGCCGGAUCUUCACCAUAGAUGUAGGCUUUGCCGAACCACACUAAAUCUUUUUGUUCUUUGUGUGGUGUUUUUACUUUUGUGUCGUGUUUCUUGAUUUGUUCUUGGGUUCGCUGCAUUUGUCGUCACAGUCAAAGAAAGCAUCUCACAAGGUUUUGAACUGGUUCUUUGAAGUUCUGUAACUCCAAAUCCCUUCCCCCACAAGGCCAGUGGAUGCUAACCUUUUUGUCACUAUAUUAUUUAUAGAAACUGGUGUGCAAGGAGAAUGGGAUGUAAUCCGCUUCCUAUAUAUUUGAUUUGCAAAAUCAAAUUUAGAGCUCUCUGAAAAUCAAAUCUCUAGAUACUGUUUCAAAGAAGCAAAACCAGAACAAAUUCAGACCUACUGUAUAUAUAAAGAUUUUGUUGAAUGAGAGAAAAAAUUGAAUGAAGCAAGAAGGCAAUUUUGAAAGAGAGAAUGUUCAGGUUGCAUAGACACGAGCCAGAAUCUGUCAAGUCUGGAGAGAGAAUCGAUUUCAACUUCUCCAACAUUCAGCCUCUUCAGGUCUCCUCUCGUUUUUCACUUUUAUUUUUUGUUUGUGUUAUUUUUUUAAGUUUGAUUAAUAAACUGUUGGAACUUGGAAGAUAUUAAUACUUAUGAUGUUUUGAAAUAAAGCAAAUUCUGCAAUACGGAGUAGUAAAGAUUUAUAUUAUUACCCAGAAUUCCGGAACAAUUAAAAGAUGGUUAGGUCUUAAACAUUCAGCUAAUUACUUUAUUUAUUGUCAUCACCAUUUUGGUGUGGUAUGUAUUUGAUGUGACUGGAUGACACUGGGCAAAGUGGUAAUGUAAGAGAAUUUGUAAUCAUAAUUUUGGAGCUAAUAUAACAAGGAAUUUUUAUUGUGGAUGUGAGUAUAUGUAAACGAGUAAAGAUUUUUAUUUUUAUUUUUAUUUUUUAUCAAUUAUUGGAUAUUUAUUGAAUUUGUGUUUUAUCCAUUUUAUAAAAAUUGCCGGAAAAAAAAAGAAAGAUAUAUACUUAAAUAUGAAAACCCUUAUCUUGUAGGAAUCAGUAUGAGGUGAUAUUCUCACUAAACUGUUUGAUUUUAAGUUUUCUCAAAUUCUUGUUUUUAGUUCAUUAUGAUUAUAAUCUACACCUAUUUGAAAAUUAAUGGCAAUUUUUGAUACUCUCACUCUUUGAAACUUAAUAUCUCCUUUAGUGCUAACAUUGUCAAUUUAUGGAUCCUCCUAUAGUUGGUCACGAUGAAGCUCUUUAAUUUUUCUAUAUUUAGUGGUUAUGAAGCUAUCAAUGGAUAUUCUGAAUAUUUAAGUCCUAUAAAUCAUUGAUAUGGUUAUCUUUUGCUAAUUGAAGUGCAAAGAAAUUUGAAAAAUGGCUUCUGCCAUUUUAUUUUGUUAAAUGUUAUGCAGUACAGGACUUUGCCAUCAUUGUCAUGUUGAAGUUUUUACCAACCUGUCAUGGUGUAUUAUGGUAUUGUCACUACCAUUUUCAUGACUGAAAACUUGUCUUUAGGGUACUAGUCAAUCAUAGUAUUAGAGUGGACAGGCUCACCCUUCAACCUUCUAACUAAUUGACCAAGUUUGACAGGGUAGUUUGGGAACGGUAGAGAAUAUAGAAAAGCAGAAAACAAGUCAAUAUAUGCUUUUAGAGCAUAACAAACCUGCAAUUCCAACUAUUUUUCCAUUUUACUCUAGGAGUUAAAAUAUUUCAUUUAUUUAAUAUCUCAUUAGAUCAACUAUCUUUAUUAUGAUAGGUAAAAUUUCGCUUACCUUGUUUGACAAUAAUAAUAUAUGCUCCUUUUUACAUGCUUCCUUCAUUAAAUACAUCAUUUUAAAAAAAUUCUAUAACCUAUUCUUGGCAUAGAUUUGGUUUCUUUUAUCAAUGCAGUGUAUGUGCAGCGGGUGUGCAAAGGUUUUAAUGUUCCAAAGGCCACCCAAUUUUCAGGCAAGGAGUUGAGAGGGUUUUGGAGAUUAAAUAUACUGGACCUGACGUGUAUAUAAGUUCUUUAUUUUCUUUUUCUCCUCCACAAUCUUUUCUCUUCACUUUCUUAGGUUUCAGUAUUCAGACAAAAACAUUAUUAGUAUGCAGUUUGUAUUGCAUAUAAUGUUGUCAUUUUAUUGGCAUUAAUUGAUUACAAUGUUGUAAGCCAAUGCUUUAUUUGUUUGUGCAAGUUUCUAAUGGCAUUUUCUUUUGAGUUGUU